rnacentral:rRNA from 1 species
AUUGAACGCUGGCGGCAGGCCUAACACAUGCAAGUCCAGCGGAUGAAGGGAGCUUGCUCCUGGAUUCAGCGGCGGACGGGUGAGUAAUGCCUAGGAAUCUGCCUGGUAGUGGGGGAUAACGUCCGGAAACGGGCGCUAAUACCGCAUACGUCCUGAGGGAGAAAGUGGGGGAUCUUCGGACCUCACGCUAUCAGAUGAGCCUAGGUCGGAUUAGCUAGUUGGUGGGGUAAAGGCCUACCAAGGCGACGAUCCGUAACUGGUCUGAGAGGAUGAUCAGUCACACUGGAACUGAGACACGGUCCAGACUCCUACGGGAGGCAGCAGUGGGGAAUAUUGGACAAUGGGCGAAAGCCUGAUCCAGCCAUGCCGCGUGUGUGAAGAAGGUCUUCGGAUUGUAAAGCACUUUAAGUUGGGAGGAAGGGCAGUAAGUUAAUACCUUGCUGUUUUGACGUUACCAACAGAAUAAGCACCGGCUAACUUCGUG